GAUUAAGUUAUUAAGGGCGCACGGUGGAUGCCUUGGCACUAGAAGCCGAUGAAGGACGUUACUAACGACGAUAUGCUUUGGGGAGCUGUAAGUAAGCUUUGAUCCAGAGAUUUCCGAAUGGGGAAACCCAGCAUGAGUUAUGUCAUGUUAUCGAUAUGUGAAUACAUAGCAUAUUAGAAGGCACACCCGGAGAACUGAAACAUCUUAGUACCCGGAGGAAGAGAAAGAAAAUUCGAUUCCCUUAGUAGCGGCGAGCGAAACGGGAAGAGCCCAAACCAACAAGCUUGCUUGUUGGGGUUGUAGGACACUCUAUACGGAGUUACAAAGGACGACAUUAGACGAAUCAUCUGGAAAGAUGAAUCAAAGAAGGUAA
rnacentral:rRNA from 1 species